rnacentral:lncRNA from 1 species
UGUCAUCUCUCUCCUCCGCCAGCUCUCGCCCGCACCCGUUGCUCCAGAGCCGCUUCUCUGCUCGGACUCGAGUCCGAGUUUUGCUUCGCGCCGCGUCCGUCCUGGCCUCUGGCCCCACACACCAGGGCUCGUACAAAAGGCUGCCGCCGCUAUCUUCUUUUCUCCCCAACCGCAACCGCUUCCGCAUCUACAGCUCCGCGCCGUCGCAAGCUCGCACUUGCGCCACCGCUCGUGCGUCGUCGAUCUGUGCCGCCAUCGCUUCUCCGUGGCCAACAACGCCCCCCGAAGCUACGCACAAGGUCCUCAAGGCCGUCCGUGGAGUUUCGCGCUCGCCUGUGUGCAUCUUUUCCACUCGCCCGAGCUUACCGGGGCGCCGUCGCCGCCGUGCGAUCUACGCCGCCUCCGCCGCAGGUUUCCGCGCCGGUGGCACCCUUAUCGCGCCUGCAGUUUCCUCCUCUACCCCCUGGCCAAAUCCCUGGCCGAAUCUGCACCCGGAGGCUCGUUCCGAGCAAGUCCGUCGAACUGCCCUUUUCCGCCGCCGCUCGCCGUCGCUGACGUCAGCACUCCUUCUGCAAGCCGUCGGAUCGCCAUCCGACGGUCCGCAUCGAGUCAGCUGAGUCAACAGCCGCGCGCCGUGCCGUUGUUGCGUUUUAGCCCCUGCGGUUUUCCCUUUUUGCGCCCCAGCUUUCCGCAGUUCAAAACUAUUUAAAAAUUGGGUCCCUAGAAGUUUGGUUUCUCGCAGUGUUAUGUCCCUGCAUCUUGUUUUCAACGCAGUUUUUGCAUUAUAGGUCCGUUUUUGGCGUUCUUUAUGUCCGCGUGUUCGUUUUAAUGCGUAGAAUAAUUUUGUAAACUUAUUUUCUCUGUUUAUUAUGAUUGGUGUACUAUUUUCUUAUGUAUUGCAUUUGUUUGCUUGUAUGUCCUCGUGUGGUGUGUGUAGACGAUCAAUAGUUCGAGGGAUUUGAAGAUCAAGCUUUCGAGGAGUACGAACAGCAAGAGCAAGAUCAAGAAGGCAAGUUGUGUCCUUGAUCAUUUCUUUAAGUCCUAUUCAUCUUUACUUUCAUGUUCUAUACAACAUUGCCAUGCACAAUAUAGUUUAAAUUUGAUGGGUCCCAAUUAAGGAUGUCCUAGAUUUUAUUUACCUAUGCCUUGACCAACCGAGUUAAAUUUAUGUUGGGUUGCUUAUGCUUAGUGCUCAAAUAUGGUUAUGAUGGUUUAAUCUAAAUCAUUAUUAAUUUGGUAUUAUUUAUGUAUACCUUCCAUUAAUAUAAGACCAUUAUGUUUAAUCGGAACAUGGAGCGACCAUCAAGAAAAAUAGUGCUACCAGAAGACUAAAUGGCUCUGGUCUUGGCUGAAUAAUUAGAAACCUUAGUCUGAGGUAAUCUUACUCGUGAUGAGGCAAGAGGGGGGACUGAGUCAUUGCAUUAGCGGCCUGUGAUAGGUUGUGCACAUCAGACACCAAAACCUUAGCGGGGUACCACUGACUAAUGAAUUUUUGUAAAGGCUCGUAACGUCCCUAUGCAAUUACACCUCGGAAGUGUGGUAUGGUGCCUUGCAAACACCGCAUGGUUGGGUCCAAAGUUCUUUUGAACUUUUACGUGCCUUGGGGUAAAGAUGUGUAACCUCUGCAGAGUGUAAAAAUGAUCGAUCAACCGUGCUCACGGUUAAGAGCCGCCUGAACCCUCACAUGAUAAUACAAUCAAAAGAUGGGCUUAAAUUAUUGUUACUUUAUUCAUGGUUAUGUUAUCACUUUAUGUAUGUUCUUGUUUAAUUUUGGGUGGUAUAAACUUACAUCUAGUUAAUUGUUAAUAAAAUUUGACCAACUAAAUUAAAAGCUGAUGUUGUUUAAGCCUUAGCCAUACCUUGAUUUGCCUUACACUACACUGUUCCCCAUGACUUGUUAGUAUCAACCAUAAAUGUACUCACCUUUGCAAAACCGUUGUCUAGACCAAGCUAAUCUGGAGGAGUACUUGCACGACUUUGAGGAGUUCUAGGCGUACAGUUCUUCGGUCAGCUGCCUGUGGAGUUGUUGCUAUCUUUGGAGUUCUGCUGCGUAAUAAUUAGACUUUGUAGUUUAUUUGAGACUUUCGGUCAUGUAAUAAUAGUUAAUACUCCUUUUAUUUCGUUAUGGCAGUGUCUUUGAUAUCCACUUAUAUCGUGCAUGUGUAUAACUUGAUCCUGCCGCACAUGUAUUCAAUGCACUUGGUUUUAUCUUUAAAACCGGGUGUGACACGACGAUGAGUUAU